UACAUAGGGGGCAAGCGUUAUCCGGAAUUAUUGGGUGUAAAGGGUGCGUAGACGGGAGAGCAAGUUAGUUGUGAAACCCCUCGGCUUAACUGAGGACCUGCAACUAAAACUACUCAUCUUGAGUACUGGAGAGGAAAGUGGAAUUCCUAGUGUAGCGGUGAAAUGCGUAGAUAUUAGGAGGAACACCAGUGGCGAAGGCGACUUUCUGGACAGAAACUGACGUUGAGGCACGAAAGUGUGGGGAGCAAACA
rnacentral:rRNA from 1 species